UACUAGGUAAGAGAUGGUGAGAGAUCUUCAUCUCAACUGUGACCCCACAGCCACCCCUGGAAGCCUUGAGAGCUCCCAGCGGCAGCAGGGCACACCCUUCCCAAGGAGGUCCAGGAGGGCAAUUCACCCUGCCUUGCUGUUGGGAAAUGUUCACCCAGGCCAGGCUGAGCGUGGUGACGCAUGAUGUUUGUGACUUUUCACCCCCCUUUUCAGACCGCUGAAUCCCUGUCUUCUCCCUGUCCGGCUACUUGUCCUGAAUCCCUUACUCCCUAGCACCUGACUGACAUACAGGUUCUGCUCCCACGGUUCAGUGAAGACAGACUGGGAAAGAACUAGGGGCCAGCCCCAUUUCAUGCCGGAUGUGUCCAUCUUGGGACAGUGCCCUCUCCAAGAGUCUCCCUGACAAUGGAUACUUUGAGAGUAUCUUGGAAUGACACCAUUUGAAGAGGUUGCUGAGGGGAGCCCGCGGUUGCUUCUUUAGACCCCUCAUCAUGGAGUAGAUAUCCAUCAGAGCCCUAGCGACUAUGCUAAGCCCAGUAAAGGACCACAGGACCUUACGGAGAGUACAGGAGAUCGGGGAAGAGGAGACAGGAACCAGGGGGACCGUGUGACCCAGAACACAAUGAGCAUGGAGAAUGAACUGAGUGGUGGGAGAGCCAAUUCUUCGCUCUUUCUAGAGAAAGUCUAAAAGGGUGGCGGUCACCAGGGUCCCCCAGGAGCACCGCAGCGCUAUCACCACUGAGGACACCUGAGGGACGACCCAGCCCCCAGGAACCCAGAGCUAGAAGAGGGCACCAGAUGUCAUUACAGAU